AUUGAACGCUGGCGGAAUGCUUUACACAUGCAAGUCGAACGGUAGAGGGGGCAACCCCUCGAGAGUGGCGAACGGGUGAGUAAUAUAUCGGAACGUGCCCAGUCGUGGGGGAUAACGUAGCGAAAGUUACGCUAAUACCGCAUACGAUCUAAGGAUGAAAGCGGGGGAUCGCAAGACCUCGCGCGAUUGGAGCGGCCGAUAUCAGAUUAGCUUGUUGGUGAGGUAAAGGCUCACCAAGGCGACGAUCCGUAGCUGGUCUGAGAGGAUGAUCAGCCACACUGGGACUGAGACACGGCCCAGACUCCUACGGGAGGCAGCAGUGGGGAAUCUUGGACAAUGGGGGCAACCCUGAUCCAGCCAUGCCGCGUGUGUGAAGAAGGCCUUCGGGUUGUAAAGCACUUUCAGCAGGGAGGAAGGCUUUGGUCGAAUAGGCUGAAGUACUUGACGUUACCUGCAGAAGAAGCACCGGCUAAUUUCGUGCCAGCCGCCGCAGUAA
rnacentral:rRNA from 1 species